CUUAUUCUUCUCAUCGAUCGUUUUACACACACAGUGAUGAUGAUGAUCAUAAUGAUUUUCAGAUCCAUGUCUAUACUUUUAGCUUUCUUCUCUGAUUCUGUUUCUCUCUCGUUCUCUUCAAUACUUUUAGGGUUCAACUACUCUGAUUUUAGAUGAACUUGUAAAGGCUUAAAUCAGUAGUAUUAUUAAGGUCGAAUGAUUUGUUGAUUUCAUAGAUCUCAAAUCCCAAAUCGCGGACCAACACCAAUUCAUUAAGGAAGAGCUGGGGUUCCUAUAGAAGUCAUGAGAUUGAGUUUGGGAAGUUUGUAGAUGAAUAUACUGUUCGUGUGGUUGAUGUUUAUGCUACGCCUCUUGGGAUGACUUUAUGUUGUGAAAGAAGUUGGGUGAAGGUGCUUUUGGAGUAGUUUAUAGAGUUUCUUUGACAGAGAAACCUUAGCUCAAGAUGGCGAUAAAGGAACUGCUUUUAAGCACUCAUUUCUAUGAUUGCUGAUGAGGGCAGCAAUAGUGAGAACUUUGUGUGAGGGAAGUUGAAGUCCGUAAGGCUGUUUUCUGUUCAAGUUUAUUUAUAAUCAACAUUUCUAAUUGCAUUAGUGAUUCGAUUUAAUUUAAGGUAUAUAAGAGUGUUUUUGUGUUCUGUUUCUUUUGAUUGGUUAGGUGCAGCUGGCAUUGGAAAUGAGAGUCACGAAAGUAGUUAGUAUUGACCUUUCUGGAAAUCUUGGAGAUUGGCUAUCUUGUCGUACUGUCAAGCACUAGAGAAGUUCGCUCCUCAUAUCCAACAUGCAUGUGUUGACAAUGUUAUGGGCUAUUAACAUUACUCUGCAUAGGGUUGUUCUCCAGUUACUUAAUGUGAUGGUGUGACUGCUCUUGCAGUUUAGCAUGAAGAGCAAAGGGAAGGGUGUAUCAAUUGACGGUGUUCCUCUUCCUUUCGAGGCAGGCGAAAUUGAUUUUGGUGAGCCAGAUUCGAACGACCAACACAGCUUUUACCAGCUAAUUCACCAGGGCCGCGGGAUUCCUUGUGAUUUUAUUGGUGUUGUUAAGAGUCAACAACCUGUGUACCUGAAAGGUGCUACCCUAACAACAGUUCCCUUAAGAGUAAAUGUCUUAUCAAAAGGCUUAUAUUACAAGGAACUGUAAUUAGAUUUUUAUAAUGGGUCACUCAGCCUUCUACUUCCUUCUUUGAACACAUGGGACAUGUUUGUCACUAAUUGAGCUUUAGGGUUACCCAAUUCUUAGUUUUUUGCAAUA